UUGGAAAAGCCACAUAGAGGUCAAACUCUGUCUAGCUAUCCGUCUAUAAAGAAAUCCAGACAGCGUAAUGCAGCAUUUUAUGAACAACAAGUGGAUCUUCUGGGAAUGACAGAAUCCUCCCUACGAAUUAGAAGCAUGGAAGGAUUCGUUACACUUUAACAUGUUUCUUCAGUGACAUGUGCGACCUUGACUUUUAAUUAUUCAAGAGUGGCAAGUAUGGAACCUAAAGUGGAUUGUUGACACAAGAUGCCUGGAAAUAAGGAGAAUUAUGAAAGACAUACUGUUGUUUUAAAUUUCAAACCACAGUUACCUGUGUAACUAAAGAACCUGUAAGUCCCUCAAUAGGAAAAAGUGGAAACUGACCCAGAGGAUGCCAGACAGAAGGAUAUAUCCAAUUGCAGUUCUUACCAGCAUACAGGAGGAGGUUCCAUAUGAAUAUAACUUCUUGCCUAAGUUGGUUUAGGUAAGAAGACUCUUCAUGUGCCUGUUUCCUUCAAAUUUUAAGGGAAUCACUCAGGCUGCAUCUUCUCUCCCUUCUACUCUCCCUGAGAUGAGAGAAGAACGAUCACCAAUGGCAAAUGCAGUUGUAGCGAAGUAAAACCAAGAGCUGGCCUCACGCGCCACAGAGAAUGCUGCGUCUCCUCCUCAUGGUUUCUGGGGCUCCUCACGCUGAGAAACUUCUGUAGCCACAAAUCAUAUAAAUGAUCCCUGAAAGUAUAGUCUUUCCAUUUCUUACUAAUGAAGUCAUGCUCUGCUCACCUCCAACUUGACAGUGUUUGGUAGCUUUGUCAUAGGCUUCUCAUUGCUGAGGCAGGAACCAUAGGAAUAUUGGCCUCAGAAACAGUAAGGUGAGGGACAAAGAGUCUAAGAUAAGGAACCUAAUAUUGCAUCAUUGCCUAGUGGCAGGGAUGGCAGAACGCUGUCAUUCCCCACCCUGUGCCGGUGGCAGACAUUGCUAAUCAAUCAUGCACUCUUAUCUACUGAACCUGAGGAGCCUCAGACUCCUCAAAAUGGUGGCCCUGAGUCACAUCCCAGUUAACUGCACUUGGCUGUUGAAACGAAAUGUAUUUGUUAUCCUCAACCUAAUUAUUAAAAAGCUGUAGUUUUGGAGUCACACAAAUCUGAGCUUAAAUUUCGCCUGUGUCAUCUGAGCAACUUAGCCUCUUUAAGCUUCUGCUCCCACCAUCAUCACAUCCCUCAGAGUGUGUGGGAAGGGCAAAUGGGGCAGUGUGUCUUAAGUUUCUUGAAAACAAUGCAAAACCCAGUUCCAGUGUCAAAUCCGAGGAGUUAUUUAGAAUCUCUGGACUGCUCCCAGUUUCCUUCCAGGAAAAAUUAGGGUUGUGAAAGUUGUCAAAAUCAAAAUGGAGUCACUAAUGUUAAAAAAAGAAAGAAAGAACCCUGACAAAUGGAGCUGGGAAAGGCCAUGAAGAGAGAGUUCUCAUACGUGUAAGCCUGAUAACAAAAACUGUCACACAAGACUCUGUAAAAACCAUGACCUCGCACAAAGGCCGUUGCAGCCUUACACAAAAAAGACUUCUGCAAAGACAUCUGCCCAGCCACUGCCUAUCCAAGCCUAGACUGGCAUCACCCUUGUUAUUGAUCUUUGGAGCCAAGGAUAAUUAUGUCAAAACAAAUAUGUAAUCCUUCUCUUUCUUUCUUUAAAAAUCUGUCUUCCUUUACCUCCCUGAACAUGUAC
rnacentral:lncRNA from 1 species